AUUCAAAGCAGCGACGCACGUUUAGUAAGAGGAACUACGGCUAUAUGGAUUUUCAACAAAGAAAACUGGCCUAACAGAGAUUUGUAUCGUAUCUGAAUUAAAAUCAACCAGGUAACAGCUGCCCAAAACUAAAUUACUAAAAGAAGCCAAACAGAACAAAUAUUCUAUUUGUUGAAAGCCAGCCUAUUCUCUGAAGAUGGCACCCUGAAACAUCACACUGUUAUUUGAUCUGUACUAGUUUCCAUUUUAGUUUCUAGUCCAAUUUAAAUGUAUAAUUAAAUAUGGCAAGGAUAAUUUCUCCCACAUUUAUUCAUAGUACUCAAUUAUUUCAUUCAGCAUUAUUGUUUUGCCCCAAAUUCUUUUUAGUGACUCACUUAGGGAGGUCUUCAAAAGGAGUGAGGUUGUUUUAUUUGUGAUACCAAGAUUGUAAAUUGCUUACUACCUAGUUGAAGUAAUAUGUUUUUUUUAUAUAUAUAUGAAUCUAGGGUAUGACUUUUUGAAGGGCUUUUGGUGAUUAUUUUCUCUUUUCUUUAUCUUUAACGUCAAAAAUUAUUGCUUUUGCUAAUUUGACCCAUUUUCUCUCCUUUUUUAUUUAUUGUUCUAACCCCAUGUAUUGGGAAUAUAAAUCACUCUGGUUUCCUUUGACGUGAGACAUGUGUCCUACAAUUGACAAUAAUAACCAAGCAAUUACAAUAAACAAAAUUUCUUAGAAUUAGUCAUAUGUAAACCACAUCAAUACAUACUGUGGAUGGCCCAGCUAGAUGGCAGCACCUAGCCAGCAUUGGCUAAUCUCAGAAAGCUAAACAGUUGGAUCUUGUUAUUACUUGGAAUCCCAGGCCUGUAGACUAGAUUAAGAAGUCAAAACAUUAUGAAAAAGGUAAUGGUAAAUUACUUUGGUAUUGUCGCCAAAGAAAGCUAUGUGAACUUAUUGAUGAAUUCAUUAAGAUAAAAAUAAAAAUAAAUCGUAUUACCCAAGAAGGCAAGCUAAGAUAUAGAAAUAUGGCUUCUGAGGAAAAAGAGAAACUGUUUAAAAUAAUUAAAAUAAUCUGCAAUAAAAAUGAGCAACAAUCACAAAUCUCCAAACCAUGGUAUAAAAAUAUGUAAGUAGCAAUUGGAAAAAAUUGGGGGGGUGGGGGAGAGAGAGAAGGGCUAUUAGGAUAGUUUUUCUUAUUUUUUAUAUAAUCUAUUUUCAUUUUCAUUCUGUAAUUGUAUUUUCUUUUCAAAUUUUCCCUGUAAUGUUUAUUAUAUCAAUGUAUAAGUAUUCCUUUCCAUUUUCUUAUUUUUGUAUCUUUGCUGUUUUACCAAAUUAAUAAAAAAUAAAA